ACUCUUGUUUCUCUUUAAAUCGUAUAAAUCUUUCGCCUUUUACUAAAGAUUUCCGUGGGGAGAAACAACACAAGUUUAAAUACAAUUUUUAAAAUCCUUCUGAAGCAGGGC